rnacentral:rRNA from 1 species
UGCGUAGGCGGCUUGGCAAGUCAGGAGUGAAAGGCAAUGGCUCAACCAUUGUAAGCUCUUGAAACUGCUAAGCUUGAAUGCAGGAGAGGUAAGUGGAAUUCCUAGUGUAGCGGUGAAAUGCGUAGAUAUUAGGAGGAACACCAGUGGCGAAGGCGACUUACUGGACUGUUAUUGACGCUGAGGCACGAAAGCGUGGGGAGCGAACA